rnacentral:misc_RNA from 1 species
GUGAAGACUCAUCUCUGAAUCCCCAUUCACCAGACGAUUUGUUUCCAAAACCAUUUUGCCUUCAGAUUUUGCAUAAAGACUUUCUGCCACAACCACCUGAACAGUUUUCUAUGAAGAUCUCGUACGUUUCUCUUGGUUGAUUGUUUACGGUGAAGACAAUCUCUUCGUCGAAAAACGGCUGCUGCUAAUGCAUUGGAAAUGACGGAGACUGUUUUAGAAGAUAAAGAAAUUCCCUGGAAAAUC